rnacentral:rRNA from 1 species
UAGUGUUGAUGUUCUAACGUCGACCCCUUAUCGGGGUUGCGGACAGUGCCUGGUGGGUAGUUUGACUGGGGCGGUCUCCUCCCAAAGAGUAACGGAGGAGCACGAAGGUGGGCUAAUCACGGUUGGACAUCGUGAGGUUAGUGCAAUGGCAUAAGCCCGCUUGACUGCGAGAAUGACAAUUCGAGCAGGUGCGAAAGCAGGUCAUAGUGAUCCGGUGGUUCUGAAUGGAAGGGCCAUCGCUCAACGGAUAAAAGGUACUCCGGGGAUAACAGGCUGAUACCGCCCAAGAGUUCAUAUCGACGGCGGUGUUUGGCACCUCGAUGUCGGCUCAUCACAUCCUGGGGCUGAAGUCGGUCCCAAGGGUAUGGCUGUUCGCCAUUUAAAGUGGUACGCGAGCUGGGUUUAGAACGUCGUGAGACAGUUCGGUCCCUAUCUGCCGUGGGCGUUGGAAGAUUGAAGGGGGCUGCUCCUAGUACGAGAGGACCGGAGUGGACGAACCUCUGGUGUUCGGGUUGUGUCGCCAGACGCAUUGCCCGGUAGCUAAGUUCGGAAUCGAUAACCGCUGAAAGCAUCUAAGCGGGAAGCGAGCCCUGAGAUGAGUCUUCCCUGAUACUUUAAGUAUCCUAAAGGGUUGUCGGAGACUACGACGUUGAUAGGUCAGGUGUGUAAGUGCUGUGAGGCAUUGAGCUAACUGAUACUAAUUGCCCGUGAGGCUUAACCAUACAACAC